UGGUGGGAUUUCAGACUUAGCAGAAAAGAGCCCCAAUACCUAAUUAGCCCUGAGCUACACCUGGGGGUGAGGAAUGAUUGCAGCUGGGUGCUGUGGCAGGAGAGGUAAGGUAGGGGAGCAGGGAAGAGAAAAAUCUCACUGUGGUGACAGGGAAUUGGUGCUUGGCUUCAGGAAAAUAACAAGAUCUUUGUGAACAGCGAUCUGAAGGAGAAACAAAGCUGGAGGAAGCCAGAAAUGACAAAUUCUUCUGUCAACCAAAAUCUCUACACAAAGGGCCAGCAAGACAGAAGAUGUUACGAAGUCUGAGCAAUGAGCACUCAGUAAGACAAUCCCAUGGAGAGCAGAAUUUGGCUUUAAUCUGCCAAAAUUAGAACAAGUAUGUCCUGCCUAAAGAACUAAGCCACAGUGGAAGUACCACCCUUCCCAUACACCCCCACUACUCUUGUUUCAGGAGUUUCUGAAAUCGUUCAUCCUCGAGCACACACAGGGGAAGGUCUGUCUCUCCUCUACCUUUCAUUUCCUCGAGCUUCUGUUUAAGAUCCCGCAAGGCCUGAAGCUCAUCAUUCAGUCGAUUCUGUCG